rnacentral:rRNA from 1 species
ACGUGCCAGCAGCCGCGGUAAUACGUAGGGGGCGAGCGUUGUCCGGAAUUAUUGGGCGUAAAGAGCGUGUAGGCGGUUCGGUAAGUCUGCCGUGAAAACCUGGGGNUCAACCCCGGGCGUGCGGUGGAAACUGCCGGGCUAGAGGAUGGUAGAGGCGAGUGGAAUUCCCGGUGUAGCGGUGAAAUGCGCAGAUAUCGGGGGGAACACCAGUAGCGAAGGCGGNUCGCUGGGCCAUUCCUGACGCUGAGACGCGAAAGCUAGGGGAGCGAACAGGAUUAGAUACCCUGGUAGUCCUAGCCGUAAACGAUGAACACUAGGUGUGGGGGGAGUCGAAUCCCUCUGUGCCGCAGCCAACGCGAUAAGUGU